UACGAAGGGGACUAGCGUUGUCCGGAGUUAUUGGGCGUAAAGCGCGCGCAGGCGGCUUCGCGCGCCCGCCGUGAAAGCCCCCGGCUUAACCGGGGAGAGUCGGUGGGGACGGCGGAGCUUGAGGGCGGGAGAGGUCGGUGGAAUUCCCGGUGUAGUGGUGAAAUGCGUAGAGAUCGGGAGGAACACCUGUGGCGAAGGCGGCCGACUGGGCCGACCCUGACGCUGAGGCGCGAAGGCGUGGGGAGCGAACGGG
rnacentral:rRNA from 1 species